UACGUAGGGUGCGAGCGUUGUCCGGAAUUAUUGGGCGUAAAGGGCGCGUAGGCGGCCUGUUAAGUCGAACGUGGAAUCCCCGGGCUCAACCCGGGAACUGCGUCCGAUACUGGCAGGCUUGAAUUCGGGAGAGGGAUGCGGAAUUCCAGGUGUAGCGGUGAAAUGCGUAGAUAUCUGGAGGAACACCGGUGGCGAAGGCGGCAUCCUGGACCGAGAUUGACGCUGAGGCGCGAAAGCCAGGGGAGCAAACGGG
rnacentral:rRNA from 1 species